UGGUUUAAGUAGAGGCUGCCCGCUUCUCACCUGAUGUUCGACACAUUUAGUAGUUGACAGGUUUGACACGUUGAAUUGUUUUACGUAUUUUUACGUAUGCACAUAUAGCGGGCGGACAUCUUCUACAAUGUCCGUCCUUUUUUUGUGGA
rfam:Bacillus sp. KCTC 13219 scaffold1.1, whole genome shotgun sequence.